rnacentral:rRNA from 1 species
GUGGGGAAUAUUGGGCAAUGGGCGAAAGCCUGACCCAGCAACGCCGCGUGAAGGAAGAAGGUUUUCGGAUUGUAAACUUCUGUCCUCAGGGAAGAAGGAAGUGACGGUACCUGAGGAGGAAGCCCCGGCUAACUACGUGCCAGCAGCCGCGGUAAUACGUAGGGGGCGAGCGUUGUCCGGAAUGACUGGGCGUAAAGGGCGCGUAGACGGUUUUUUAAGUCUGGAGUGAAAGUCCUGCUUUCAAGGGGGGAAUUGCUUUGGAGACUGGGAGACUUGAGUGCGGAAGAGGUAAGUGGAAUUCCCAGUGUAGCGGUGAAAUGCGUAGAGAUUGGGAAGAACACCAGUGGCGAAGGCGACUUACUGGGCCGUAACUGACGUUGAUGCGCGAAAGCGUGGGGAGCGAACAGGAUUAGAAACCCCAGUAGUCC